rnacentral:rRNA from 1 species
AAAUGAAUAGACGGGGGCCCGCACAAGCGGUGGAGCAUGUGGUUUAAUUCGAGGCAACGCGAAGAACCUUACCCAGGCUUGACAUCCCGGGAAUCCCCUGGAAACAGGGGAGUGCCCUUCGGGGAACCCGGUGACAGGUGUUGCAUGGCUGUCGUCAGCUCGUGUCGUGAGAUGUUGGGUUAAGUCCCGCAACGAGCGCAACCCUUGUCCUUAGUUACCAGCGGUUCGGCCGGGAACUCUAAGGAGACUGCCGGUGAUAAGCCGGAGGAAGGUGGGGAUGACGUCAAGUCAUCACGGCCCUUACGCCUGGGGCUACACACGUGCUACAAUGGCCGGUACAAUGGGCUGCGAUACCGCGAGGUGGAGCAAAUCCCAAAAAGCCGGUCUCAGUUCAGAUUGCAGUCUGCAACUCGACUGCAUGAAGCCGGAAUCGCUAGUAAUCGCGCAUCAGCUACGGCGCGGUGAAUACGUUCCCGGGCCUUGUACACACCGCCCGU